UCGGUUAAAUUGUCUGUUUUUCUUCGAUCUGCUUGCUUUAUGUUCCAAUCCGUUAAACAUACAAAAAUCAAAUUAGAAAAAUCAAAACCCUAAUCAAAGUUAAAAUCUACUUUAACUCAAAUAUCUGAAGAUAAUUAAAAUCACCUGAAACAGAAAAUCAUCAAAUACCACAAUCAAUUGAUUCUGAAAUCAAUUUGAAAAUUCUCAGUGAAGAAUCACGAGAGUUUUUUGAAGAUCGUCACGAUUCAUGAACGCUCCGUGAAAAUCAAACCGCAGUGCAUUUUGAAUUGGUGUUGGAAAAGGAGAAGCAAAAUGAGAACAUGACAAAACUCUGAUCGAAUGGAAGAUCGAUCGGAGAAUGAAACAGAUCGGAGAUGGAGAACGAUGAGAGCGAAUUUGGAUUGAGAGAGAGAAAGUUUCUCCUUUUUCCUUCGGAGCGUUUAGUUUUUCCUUUU
rnacentral:lncRNA from 1 species